CUUUGUCUCCGACACUCUGCCUCUCACCCCUCUGGUGUUCUGACCCUCUCAGCCACUCUGAUCCGGCUCCGCCACUUCACCCUUUUCGCGAGACAGUGACUUCGACUCCUUCUCAGGUUCUCACCGUCGACUCUCGCCUACCGGAAACCCUAGAUCCAGGGAUAUGCCCUUAGCUUCUUCAGUGACUAGCCAUGAAAAUCUAACAGGAGUGACAGGGUGAAAUGAGAAUGUAUGUUUCUGCGGUUUUUAAGACAUCAUUUGGGAGAUAAGUAAAUAUGAAAUUCAAUGAUGGAACUAAUACCUAUAGAGGAUCAAA